rnacentral:rRNA from 1 species
ACAAAUGCCCUGCUUCCAGGAAAAGCCUCUAAGCAUCAGGUAACAUCAAAUCGUACCCCAAACCGACACAGGUGGUCAGGUAGAGAAUACCAAGGCGCUUGAGAGAACUCGGGUGAAGGAACUAGGCAAAAUGGUGCCGUAACUUCGGGAGAAGGCACGCUGAUAUGUAGGUGAAGUGAUUUACUCAUGGAGCUGAAAUCAGUCGAAGAUACCAGCUGGCUGCAACUGUUUAUUAAAAACACAGCACUGUGCAAACACGAAAGUGGACGUAUACGGUGUGACGCCUGCCCGGUGCCGGAAGGUUAAUUGAUGGGGUUAUCCGUAAGGAGAAGCUCUUGAUCGAAGCCCCGGUAAACGGCGGCCGUAACUAUAACGGUCCUAAGGUAGCGAAAUUCCUUGUCGGGUAAGUUCCGACCUGCACGAAUGGCGUAAUGAUGGCCAGGCUGUCUCCACCCGAGACUCAGUGAAAUUGAACUCGCUGUGAAGAUGCAGUGUACCCGCGGCAAGACGGAAAGACCCCGUGAACCUUUACUAUAGCUUGACACUGAACACUGGUCCUUGAUGUGUAGGAUAGGUGGGAGGCUUUGAAGUGUGGACGCCAGUCUGCAUGGAGCCAACCUUGAAAUACCACCCUUUAAUGGCUGGUGUUCUAACGUGGGCCCGUAAUCCGGGUUGCGGACAGUGUCUGGUGGGUAGUUUGACUGGGGCGGUCUCCUCCUAAAGAGUAACGGAGGAGCACGAAGGUUAGCUAAUCCUGGUCGGACAUCAGGAGGUUAGUGCAAAGGCAUAAGCUAGCUUGACUGCGAGCGUGACGGCGCGAGCAGGUGCGAAAGCAGGUCUUAGUGAUCCGGUGGUUCUGAAUGGAAGGGCCAUCGCUCAACGGAUAAAAGGUACUCCGGGGAUAACAGGCUGAUACCGCCCAAGAGUUCAUAUCGACGGCGGUGUUUGGCACCUCGAUGUCGGCUCAUCACAUCCUGGGGCUGAAGUAGGUCCCAAGGGUAUGGCUGUUCGCCAUUUAAAGUGGUACGCGAGCUGGGUUUAGAACGUCGUGAGACAGUUCGGUCCCUAUCUGCCGUGGGCGCUGGAGAAUUGAGGGGGGCUGCUCCUAGUACGAGAGGACCGGAGUGGACGCAUCACUGGUGUUCGGGUUGUCAUGCCAAUGGCACUGCCCGGUAGCUAAAUGCGGAAAAGAUAAGUGCUGAAAGCAUCUAAGCACGAAACUUGCCCCGAGAUGAGUUCUCCCUGACUCUUAAAGAGUCCUGAAGGAACGUUGAAGACGACGACGUUGAUAGGCCGGGUGUGUAAGCGCAGCGAUGCGUUGAGCUAACCGGUACUAAUGAACCGUGAGGCUUAACCUU